CUCUGACAGGAAAUGAUAAAGUAGCGGAAGCUGGGAGUUAGUGGGUGAAGGUGACGUUCAGCCUCACUGUGUGAAGAAGGUAAUUGUUUUUGAGUCUGCUGGUCCAAACGUGGAUGCUGCGUAGCCUCCUUCCUGAUGGGAGAGGGACAAAGGAUCCAUGAGCAAGGUGGCUGUUGGAUCGAAGCAACAUGGACUUCCACGCUGAAGACACAGAAAUUGUCCUGGAUCUGGUAAUGGAGUUAUGGAGCUACAAUGAAAAUUGUGAUAACCAAGUAUGAAUACAGGUCUUCUGAAGACAUUAUUAAAUUGUCAAGUUUAUCUUGGUUCAAUAUCCAUGGAAGCUCAAAAUCUUUAUUUUCAGUAAGAUGCAGGUACUGGUGGUGCUUUAUUGACUUUGAUGAGAUGGUGAUGGCCAUAUUCCUGAACCAGAGUUGUCCAUCUAUGAACGUUACGAAGCUCUGAGGCAAUGAAGGAAUGGUGAUGCAUUUUCAAAUUGGGAUGGGGUAUUACUUGAAGAGAGACUUGCAGAUAGUACUAUUCCUAGAUACCUUGUUCAUCUAGGUAGAAGGUUCUGCAUGUAAGAAGAGAUGCAUAACAAUACUUUGCAAAUAAAUGUGCCUAUCCCUUGAAUCUGUUUAAAUCUACCAUCCAAUGAUAUUUCUCUUUACCAGGGUUUAUAAUUCAAACAAGAUGAUAUUUCUUAGAAUGUGGUUUAUGCAUAGAAUAUUAUUAGUCCUGGUUAUUUUCCAAUUUGUUUCCAAGUAAAAUUCGGGUGGUUACAUGAAUUCAAUGAACAAAAGUAGACAAAGUUAUAAGUUACACACACAAAA